GAUCCUGGCUCAGGAUGAACGCUAGCGGCAGGCUUAACACAUGCAAGUCGAGGGGUAGAGGAAGCUUGCUUCCUUGAGACCGGCGCACGGGUGCGUAACGCGUAUACAAUCUACCUUUCACAGAGGGAUAGCCCAGAGAAAAUUUGGAUUAAUACCUCAUAGUAUAGCAGUUUCGCAUGAAACCACUAUAAAGUUCCAACGGUGAAAGAUGAGCAUGCGUCCCAUUAGCUAGAUGGUAAGGUAACGGCUUACCAUGGCUACGAUGGGUAGGGGUCCUGAGAGGGAGAUCCCCCACACUGGUACUGAGACACGGUCCAGACUCCUACGGGAGGCAGCAGUGGGGAAUUUUGGACAAUGGGGGCAACCCUGAUCCAGCAAUGCCGCGUGAGUGAAGAAGGCCCUCGGGUUGUAAAGCUCUUUUGUCAGGGAAGAAACGGUGAAUCCUAAUAUGGUUUGCUAAUGACGGUACCUGAAGAAUAAGCACCGGCUAACUACGUG
rnacentral:rRNA from 1 species